CAGAUCUGCCCACCCACCACUCCGUCCGGCGACCAUACGUCACCACUGUUCAGGUGACGCCGGCGACCAGGUAUUUGUGAACAUUUUUCCGGCAGUGAACAGUACUCGACCGUGAACAGUGUUUUCCGGCGACAACCAG